CUCCGCAGGACGCGGUGACGUGCGGGACGCUCGCCUGCAGUGGCGGCGGCGAGCGAGCGAGAGCGUGGAGACAUCAAUCCCACCCUGGUGUCAUGGUGACCCCGCCUGGUUGCUGAGCACAGGCCCAGAACGUGAAGCAGCCAGCAACAAACAGCACCGUUGGACGCCGGGGGGAAUUCCCAUAGUGGAGCAGUGCGUGGGAAGAAGCUGGAAGAGAAGUGUUGUGACCUUCAGUGUGCUGGUGCACUGAGCGGGGGUUGGCGCGGCCCCCCACGUCCAGCCUCUGUGCGGCAUCCAUCGACCAAGGUCAGUGGCCGCCUCCCCUGCACCGCCUCGGCAGCGGUCCAGGCGCUCCAUUAAAGUGCACUCACAAGUGAACAUCUCCACUGCGUAUCUGUGUGCGCGUGUGUGUCUGCGUGUGUUUAUGUGUGACUGUGAGUGUGUAUCUAUAUGUGUGUAAUGUGAGCGUAAACGGGCUCGCGGGAUGUGACGUAACAGGUGGGAGG